GAUCGACUCUAAUACCAUCUGUGAUAAUACAGAACUUCAUCUAAAAUGAUCGAUCAAAAUAUAUUAUUUAUAUUUUUAUAUAAUUAUUUAUUUUUUUUGAUAACUAAUCAAUAUUAAAUAUAUGCCCAUGCAGUUCCUGGAACACCGGACUCUACUGUUAAUUCAACUAAUUUAUCAGCUUGAAUAAAUUCAACUAAUUCAACGAAACAAUGGAAUAAUGCAACCAAGUAAUACAGG
rnacentral:lncRNA from 1 species